rnacentral:misc_RNA from 1 species
GAACGCACAUUGCGCCCGCCAGUAUUCUGGCGGGCAUGCCUGUUCGAGCGUCAUUUCAACCAUCAAGCCCCGCUUGUGCUGGGGUCCUGCGGCUGCCCCGCAGGCCCCGAAAUCCAGUGGCGGGCUCGCUAGUCACACCGAGCGCAGUAGUAAUCUUCGCUUAGGUCGUGCGGCGGGUCCCUGCCGUUAAAACAAACUAUUUUUUAAGGUUGACCUCGGAUCAGGUAGGAAUACCCGCUGAACUUAAG